GGUGAAGAACGUAGUGAAAUGCGAUAAGUAAUGUGAAUUGCAGAAUUCAGUGAAUCAUCGAAUCUUUGAACGCACAUUGCGCCCGCCAGUAUUCUGGCGGGCAUGCCUGUUCGAGCGUCAUUUCAACCAUCAAGCCCCAGGCUUGUGUUGGAGCCCUGCGGCUGCCGCAGCCUCCCAAAACCAGUGGCGGGCUCGCUAUCACACCGAGUGCAGUAGUUUACUCUUCGCUCAGGGCGUGUGGCGGGUGCUAGCCGUAAAACCCCCAACUUCUCAAGGUUGACCUCGGAUCAGGUAGGAAUACCCGCUGAACUUAAGCAUAUCAAUAAGCGGAGGA
rnacentral:misc_RNA from 1 species